rnacentral:rRNA from 1 species
AUUUAUAAUUGAAAUCUAGAAUGAAUGGUUUAAUGAAACAAAUUCUUUUUUAAUUUAAUUAAUUGAAAUUUUUUUUUUAGUUAAAAAACUAAAAUAAUUUUAUGGGACGAGAAGACCCUAUAGAAUUUAAUAUUAAUUAAUUUAUAUAUUAAUUAAUAAUUUAAUUAUAAAAUUUAAUAAUAUUUUGUUGGGGUGAUAAUUAAAUUUAAUUAACUUUAAAAAAUAUUUCAUUAAUUUUUGUUUAAUUGAUCUUUUUUUAUUGAUUAAAAAAUUAAAUUACCUUAGGGAUAACAGCAUAAUUUUAUUAAGAAGUUCUUAUUUUUAAUAAUGUUUAU